UACGUAGGGUGCAAGCGUUGUCCGGAAUUAUUGGGCGUAAAGAGCUCGUAGGCGGUCUGUUGCGUCGGCUGUGAAAACCUGAGGCUCAACCUCGGGCUUGCAGUGGGUACGGGCAGACUAGAGUGCGGUAGGGGUGACUGGAAUUCCUGGUGUAGCGGUGGAAUGCGCAGAUAUCAGGAGGAAUACCGGUGGCGAAGGCGCAUCCUGGACCGGCAUUGACGCGUGAGU
rnacentral:rRNA from 1 species